rnacentral:rRNA from 1 species
GACGAACGCUGGCGGCGUGCCUAAUACAUGCAAGUCGAACGCUUCUUUCCUCCCGAGUGCUUGCACUCAAUUGGAAAGAGGAGUGGCGGACGGGUGAGUAACACGUGGGUAACCUACCCAUCAGAGGGGGAUAACACUUGGAAACAGGUGCUAAUACCGCAUAACAGUUUAUGCCGCAUGGCAUAAGAGUGAAAGGCGCUUUCGGGUGUCGCUGAUGGAUGGACCCGCGGUGCAUUAGCUAGUUGGUGAGGUAACGGCUCACCAAGGCCACGAUGCAUAGCCGACCUGAGAGGGUGAUCGGCCACACUGGGACUGAGACACGGCCCAGACUCCUACGGGAGGCAGCAGUAGGGAAUCUUCGGCAAUGGACGAAAGUCUGACCGAGCAACGCCGCGAGAGUGAAGAAGGUUUUCGGAUCGUAAAACUCUGUUGUUAGAGAAGAACAAGGACGUUAGUAACUGAACGUCCCCUGACGGUAUCUAACCAGAAAGCCACGGCUAACUACGUGCCAGCAGCCGCGGUAA